UAGCUUGCUACAGAUGACGACCGGCGCACGGGUGCGUAACGCGUAUAGAACCUACCUUGUAGUAAGGGAUAGCCCAGAGAAAUUUGGAUUAAUACCUUAUAGUAUCCUAAGUGAGCAUUCAUUAAUAAUUAAAGAUUUAUUGCUACAAGAUGGCUAUGCGUUCUAUUAGUUAGUUGGUAAGGUAACGGCUUACCAAGACAUCGAUAGAUAGGGGCCCUGAGAGGGGGAUCCCCCACACUGGUACUGAGACACGGACCAGACUCCUACGGGAGGCAGCAGUGAGGAAUAUUGGACAAUGGAGGCAACUCUGAUCCAGCCAUGCCGCGUGUAGGAAGACUGCCCUAUGGGUUGUAAACUACUUUUAUAGAGGAAGAAACCCCGAUAUGUAUAUCGGUUUGACGGUACUCUACGAAUAAGGAUCGGCUAACUCCGUGCCAGCAGCCGCGGUAAUACGGAGGAUCCAAGCGUUAUCCGGAAUCAUUGGGUUUAAAGGGUCCGUAGGCGGGUUUGUAAGUCAGUGGUGAAAGUUUUCGGCUCAACCGGAAAAUUGCCAUUGAUACUGCAAGUCUUGAAUCAUUAUGAAGUGGUUAGAAUAAGUAGUGUAGCGGUGAAAUGCAUAGAUAUUACUUAGAAUACCGAUUGCGAAGGCAGAUCACUAAUAAUGUAUUGACGCUAAGGGACGAAAGCGUGGGUAGCGAACAGGAUUAGAUACCCUGGUAGUCCACGCCGUAAACGAUGGUUACUAGCUGUUCGGACUUCGGUCUGAGUGGCUAAGCGAAAGUGAUAAGUAACCCACCUGGGGAGUACGUUCGCAAGAAUGAAACUCAAAGGAAUUGACGGGGGCCCGCACAAGCGGUGGAGCAUGUGGUUUAAUUCGAUGAUACGCGAGGAACCUUACCAGGGCUUAAAUGUAGAUUGACAGGUUUAGAGAUAGACUUUUCUUCGGACAAUUUACAAGGUGCUGCAUGGUUGUCGUCAGCUCGUGCCGUGAGGUGUCAGGUUAAGUCCUAUAACGAGCGCAACCCCUGUUGUUAGUUGCCAGCGAGUAAUGUCGGGAACUCUAACAAGACUGCCGGUGCAAACC
rnacentral:rRNA from 1 species